rnacentral:misc_RNA from 1 species
GAUGAAGAACGUAGCGAAAUGCGAUACUUGGUGUGAAUUGCAGAAUCCCGUGAACCAUCGAGUCUUUGAACGCAAGUUGCGCCCGAAGCCAUUAGGCUGAGGGCACGUCUGCCUGGGCGUCACGCAUCGCGUCGCCCCCCCUCCAUCGAGGUGGGGCGGAUAUUGGCCCCCCGUGCGUCCCGGCGCGCGGCCGGCCCAAAUGCGAUCCCUCGGCGACUCGUGUCGCGACAAGUGGUGGUUGUCCAACCCUCGGUGCCAUGCUGCGCGCGCUAGCCGCUCACUGUUACUCGACGACCCCAAUGCGUCGUAGCCACGACGCUCACAACGCGACCCCAGGUCAGGCGGGGCUACCCGCUGAGUUUAAGCAUAUCAAUAAGCGGAGGA